GGUACGGUGGUCUAGCGGUUAGAACACUGGCCUUGUAAUCCUGGGGUCUCGGGUUCGAUUCCCGGCGGUGCCC
rnacentral:tRNA from 1 species